CUCAGGUGUUGUUGGGUAGGGGAGCGUUCUGUAAGCCUGCGAAGGUGGCCUGUGAGGGUUGCUGGAGGUAUCAGAAGUGCGAAUGCUGACAUAAGUAACGAUAAAGCGGGUGAAAAGCCCGCUCGCCGGAAGACCAAGGGUUCCUGUCCAACGUUAAUCGGGGCAGGGUGAGUCGACCCCUAAGGCGAGGCCGAAAGGCGUAGUCGAUGGGAAACGGGUUAAUAUUCCCGUACUUGGUGUUACUGCGAAGGGGGGACGGAGAAGGCUAUGUUGGCCGGGCGACGGUUGUCCCGGUUUAAGCGUGUAGGUGUGUGUUCCAGGUAAAUCCGGUUCACUUUAACACUGAGGCGUGACGACGAGGCACUACGGUGCUGAAGCAACAAAUGCCCUGCUUCCAGGAAAAGCCUCUAAGCAUCAGGUAACAUCAAAUCGUACCCCAAACCGACACAGGUGGUCAGGUAGAGAAUACCAAGGCGCUUGAGAGAACUCGGGUGAAGGAACUAGGCAAAAUGGUGCCGUAACUUCGGGAGAAGGCACGCUGACAUGUAGGUGAAGUGAUUUACUCAUGGAGCUGAAGUCAGUCGAAGAUACCAGCUGGCUGCAACUGUUUAUUAAAAACACAGCACUGUGCAAACACGAAAGUGGACGUAUACGGUGUGACGCCUGCCCGGUGCCGGAAGGUUAAUUGAUGGGGUCAGCGCAAGCGAAGCUCCUGAUCGAAGCCCCGGUAAACGGCGGCCGUAACUAUAACGGUCCUAAGGUAGCGAAAUUCCUUGUCGGGUAAGUUCCGACCUGCACGAAUGGCGUAAUGAUGGCCAGGCUGUCUCCACCCGAGACUCAGUGAAAUUGAACUCGCUGUGAAGAUGCAGUGUACCCGCGGCAAGACGGAAAGACCCCGUGAACCUUUACUAUAGCUUGACACUGAACAUUGAGCCUUGAUGUGUAGGAUAGGUGGGAGGCUUUGAAGUGUGGACGCCAGUCUGCAUGGAGCCGACCUUGAAAUACCACCCUUUAAUGUUUGAUGUUCUAACGUGGACCCGUGAUCCGGGUUGCGGACAGUGUCUGGUGGGUAGUUUGACUGGGGCGGUCUCCUCCUAAAGAGUAACGGAGGAGCACGAAGGUUGGCUAAUCCUGGUCGGACAUCAGGAGGUUAGUGCAAUGGCAUAAGCCAGCUUGACUGCGAGCGUGACGGCGCGAGCAGGUGCGAAAGCAGGUCAUAGUGAUCCGGUGGUUCUGAAUGGAAGGGCCAUCGCUCAACGGAUAAAAGGUACUCCGGGGAUAACAGGCUGAUACCGCCCAAGAGUUCAUAUCGACGGCGGUGUUUGGCACCUCGAUGUCGGCUCAUCACAUCCUGGGGCUGAAGUAGGUCCCAAGGGUAUGGCUGUUCGCCAUUUAAAGUGGUACGCGAGCUGGGUUUAGAACGUCGUGAGACAGUUCGGUCCCUAUCUGCCGUGGGCGCUGGAGAACUGAGGGGGGCUGCUCCUAGUACGAGAGGACCGGAGUGGACGCAUCACUGGUGUUCGGGUUGUCAUGCCAAUGGCACUGCCCGGUAGCUAAAUGCGGAAGAGAUAAGUGCUGAAAGCAUCUAAGCACGAAACUUGCCCCGA
rnacentral:rRNA from 1 species